CGGCAACCAUAACAACUACGCUCUUUACGAACAGGACGUAUUAACCUCAACCAGGAGUAUGAUAAAAAUUUUCAUGGAAACUUUUCAAGUGCGCUUAACCACGACAUACAAUAAUUACGUUUUCAUCGUGCAGGACUUAGGUAGGAUUACCCACUCAAGUGCAAAGUUUGAGAAGAAUAUUCGCGUCUACACGAAUAUUCUCCUCAAACUUUGCACGUGAUUUAUUAAAAUCCCACUUAAAUCCUGUACGAUAAAAACAUAGUUAAAUGUCAGAUUGAAUGAAUCAGCAAAUAAGAAAAUUUAUGGUGAUAACGAUAGACACGGUCAAUCAAUGCUAGUCGUCAUCAGUCUAGAAUACACUUGUAACACUUAUUCCCAAUAAAGUAUCGUACUUCGAACCUGCGGUCAUCAUUGCUGCCGAAUUCCGUUAAGCGGAUGAAGGGGAGUUCUCAUAUGGAAGUAGUUUAUGGCUUCGUCGCUAACGACCUCCGACGAAACGUGUGUCUGCGAAAUACCAAGACGUCGACCACAAUUCAAUCUUACGUGAGUCUACACAAAACCAGCCUUGGAAUUUAUCCCUGAACAUGGAUACAAAUGGAUAUCGUCUUUAUGACCAGAGAUAACUGUCAAAAGCAUCUUCCGACGACUGCCAAGUUCGCUUGGACUGCCAAGCGGUGCUCAAAGUAUUUCAGUCUUACGUGCAAUAUGCCAAUCCGACUACAGAUAAGAUACCAGGGUAUGCUUCCGUUAAUUAAAAUUAUUUUUUAUAACAAGAAAGAAUAGGCUUAUUGAAAGUAGAAAAAAGUGCGAUAACCCAACUUCAAAGAUCUGAACAUUUCUUGUAUUUUUUUAUAUUCCUACGUGGAUCAAUUAUAUUACAUUCGGAGUAGAUGUACAAAGACAUCGUGUAAGGAAUAUUUAUAAAACUGUUAUGUCGUAAUAUCCAUUUCGUAAUGAUCACGUUAUGUGAUACACGAUGUAGGAUUUCGAAUCAAUUCAUAACAUAUCCUUCGAAUGUCUUUCUGAACACCCGAUACCCGUUCCACGUUCCUGAAGACGUCCGUUGAUAUGACUUAUCAAGGAUCUUAUUAAUAACAUUAAUUAGUAUUACAAGCAUAAAUCCUUCCUGACGUAACGAACUAUAAAAUAAAGGAUUCUUGAAUUUAUUUCACACAUA